rnacentral:rRNA from 1 species
GUAGUGCCUAAUACUGCAAGUCGAGCGAAUGAUGAAGAAGCUUGCUUCUUCUGAUUUAGCGGCGGACGGGUGAGUAACACGUGGGCAACCUGCCCUGUAGAUUGGGAUAACUCCGGGAAACCGGGGCUAAUACCGAAUAAUCCAUUCCCUCACAUGUGGGAAUGUUAAAAGACGGUUUCGGCUGUCACUACCGGAUGGGCCCGCGGCCCAUUAACUAGUUGGUGAAGUAACGGCUCACCAAGGCGACGAUGCCUAACCGACCUGAAAGGGUGAUCGGCCACACUGGGACUGAAACACGGCCCAAACUCCUACGGGAGGCAGCAGUAGGGAAUCUUCCACAAUGGACGAAAGUCUGAUGGAACAACGCCGCGUGAGUGAAGAAGGUUUUCGGAUCGUAAAACUCUGGUGUGAGGGAAGAACAAGUACCAAAGUAACUGGUCGUACCUUGACGGUACCUCAUUAAAAAGCCACGGCUAACUACGUGCCAGCCGCCGCGGUAAUACGUAAGUGGCAAGCGUUGUCCGGAAUUAAUGGGCCUAAAGCGCGCCCAGGGCGUCCUUUAAGUCUGAUGUGAAAGCCCACGGCUCAACCGUGGAAGGUCAUUGGAAACUGGGGGACUUGAGUGCAAAAGAAGAAAGCGGAAUUCCCAG